GAGUUUGAUCGUGGCUCAGAUUGAACGCUGGCGGCAUGCCUUACACAUGCAAGUCGAGCGGCAGCGCGGGGGCAACCCUGGCGGCGAGCGGCGAACGGGUGAGUAAUGCAUCGGAACGUGUCCUCUUGUGGGGGGUAACCAGUCGAAAGACUGGCUAAUACCGCAUGAGAUCGAGAGAUGAAAGCAGGGGACCGCAAGGCCUUGCGCGAGAGGAGCGGCCGAUGCCGGAUUAGCUAGUUGGUGGGGUAACGGCCUACCAAGGCGACGAUCCGUAGCUGGUCUGAGAGGACGACCAGCCACGCUGGGACUGAGACACGGCCCAGACUCCUACGGGAGGCAGCAGUGGGGAAUUUUGGACAAUGGGGGCAACCCUGAUCCAGCCAUGCCGCGUGUGUGAAGAAGGCCUUCGGUUG
rnacentral:rRNA from 1 species